rnacentral:rRNA from 1 species
CCUACGGGAGGCAGCAGUGGGGAAUAUUGGACAAUGGGCGAAAGCCUGAUCCAGCAAUGCCGCGUGAGUGAUGAAGGCCUUAGGGUUGUAAAGCUCUUUUACCAGGGAUGAUAAUGACAGUACCUGGAGAAUAAGCUCCGGCUAACUCCGUGCCAGCAGCCGCGGUAAUACGGAGGGAGCUAGCGUUGUUCGGAAUUACUGGGCGUAAAGCGUACGUAGGCGGUUAUUCAAGUCAGAGGUGAAAGCCUGGAGCUCAACUCCAGAACUGCCUUUGAAACUAGAUAGCUAGAAUCUUGGAGAGGUGAGUGGAAUUCCGAGUGUAGAGGUGAAAUUCGUAGAUAUUCGGAAGAACACCAGUGGCGAAGGCGACUCACUGGACAAGUAUUGACGCUGAGGUACGAAAGCGUGGGGAGCAAACAGGAUUAGAUACCCUGGUAGUCCACGCCGUAAACGAUGAUAACUAGCUGUUCGGGCUCUACGAGCUUGAGUGGCGCNGCUACGACAUUAAGUUAUUCCGUCCGUCGGGAGGUACGGUCGCGAGAAUUAAACUACAAGAGAGUAGACGCGUGAGAGCGACGACGACGACGACGAGGAGAG